GAUGAACGCUGGCGGCGUGCCUAAUACAUGCAAGUCGAGCGAACGGACGAGAAGCUUGCUUCUCUGAUGUUAGCGGCGGACGGGUGAGUAACACGUGGAUAACCUACCUAUAAGACUGGGAUAACUUCGGGAAACCGGAGCUAAUACCGGAUAAUAUUUUGAACCGCAUGGUUCAAAAGUGAAAGACGGUCUUGCUGUCACUUAUAGAUGGAUCCGCGCUGCAUUAGCUAGUUGGUAAGGUAACGGCUUACCAAGGCAACGAUGCACAGCCGACCUGAGAGGGUGAUCGGCCACACUGGAACUGAGACACGGUCCAGACUCCUACGGGAGGCAGCAGUAGGGAAUCUUCCGCAAUGGGCGAAAGCCUGACGGAGCAACGCCGCGUGAGUGAUGAAGGUCUUCAGAUCGUAAAACUCUGUUAUUAGGGAAGAACAUAUGUGUAAGUAACUGUGCACAUCUUGACGGUACCUAAUCAGAAAGCCACGGCUAACUACGUG
rnacentral:rRNA from 1 species